UCUACUUAUUAUUAUGCUUCUACUAUGAAUUUCUUCAAUCUUUAGUUAAUUUCUUCUAACAAACUCAGAGAAUAUAUGAGAUUUCCAAAAUCUCUUUUUCAUCUAUAUAUUCUUUAAUUUUCUUAGCUAGCAGGAUCAUGAUAUGCUAAUUUAAUUAUUGUUUGCAGGAACAAUAAUAAUAACAAUCAGAAAUUCGGAAUAGAAGCAGUUUUCUUCAAAAGGAUGGUCAUUAUGAGAUUCAUACUUGUUGAGGGACAUUUUCUGAUCAUAUUUUAGGUACACUCAUAAUAAGGUUGUGGAGCUUCGAUUUCUACUUUCUACUUCUAUUUCUCGAAGAUGAUGGGGAAACAUUACUUUCAUGAAGAGAAGAAUAUAUAAGAGGUGAAGAACAAGAACAAGAAUCAGAAUCCAUCAUGAUUCCUUGCAAAGAAUCUUUGACCCUUUUGAAUGGAAAGUUGAGAAGAGCAGAGUAGCCUCUCAUGGAGAAUGCAGCUUGAUCAUAAGCCAAAGCAGCAUCUUCUGCACUCUCGAAUGUUCCAAGCCAAACCCUUCUUCCAUUCCUUGUUGUGUCUCGAAUUUCCGCUGCGAAUUUCCCCCAUGGCCUUUUCCGAACUCCUAUGUAAUUUCUUCUAAUUCCCUUGCCACCAUCAACUUGUUCUUCUUCAUCAUCUUCAAGCUGCUUCUUCUUCUUGAUGUUCUCUGUGGUUGUUGGUGAUUGUGAUUGUGAAUAAUCAAUGGAGAAGUCAAUGAUAUCAUCAUCAAAGGAAAGUGAUGAAUUGUUAUUAAUGAAAGAAGGGUGAUUAACAACAUGGGUUGUGAAUAAUCCAUUAUUGUUGGUUGUGAAGAAUGAUUGGGAGCAGAAAGUGUGUGAAACAUUGUUAUGAUCAUGAUGGGACAUGUCCCAAUCUGGGAUCUCAAAGAAAGGAGGCGUAGUAGUGCUCAUUUUUGUACCUUUAAUUGUGUAUGAUUAUAUGAUAUCAUAAUCACUUAUGGCUCUCUGUGACUACUUAUUUAUAUACUGAAACCUAGAGAUCCCACCCAAAUUGUUUAUGUUUCUUACCAUGUUAUAUUUAUA